rnacentral:rRNA from 1 species
AUUAUUUUGUAUUGUCUGCAGUACCGAAUGCAUCCUUACAUUAGCAGAUUCCCAUCGUUGCAUUUCUAUGAAAACAAACUGCUGGAUGGUGCUCAGAAGGCUGAGAAAUCAGAUCCUUUCCAUGAUCACCGUUGUCUUGGUCCAUACAUGUUCUUUGAUAUUGCCGAUGGUCAUGAGCAUGCUGGAACAAGUGCUGCUGCACAAUUACUCUCUAAUCAAUUUGAAGCUGGUGCAUCACUUGAAAUACUGUCAUUUUUAAAGAACAAGUAA